AGUGAACGCUGGCGGUAGGCCUAACACAUGCAAGUCGAACGGCAGCACAGUAAGAGCUUGCUCUUACGGGUGGCGAGUGGCGGACGGGUGAGGAAUACAUCGGAAUCUACUUUUUCGUGGGGGAUAUCGUAGGGAAACUUACGCUAAUACCGCAUACGACCUACGGGUGAAAGCAGGGGAUCUUCGGACCUUGCGCGAUUGAAUGAGCCGAUGUCGGAUUAGCUAGUUGGCGGGGUAAAGGCCCACCAAGGCGACGAUCCGUAGCUGGUCUGAGAGGAUGAUCAGCCACACUGGAACUGAGACACGGUCCAGACUCCUAUGGGAGGCAGCAGUGGGGAAUAUUGGACAAUGGGCGCAAGCCUGAUCCAGCCAUACCGCGUGGGUGAAGAAGGCCUUCGGGUUGUAAAGCCCUUUUGUUGGGAAAGAAAAGCAGCAGGUUAAUACCCCGCUGUUCUGACGGUACCCAAAGAAUAAGCACCGGCUAACUUCGUG
rnacentral:rRNA from 1 species